rnacentral:rRNA from 1 species
AGCGAACGCUGGCGGCAGGCCUAACACAUGCAAGUCGAACGGACCCUUCGGGGUUAGUGGCGGACGGGUGAGUAACACGUGGGAACGUGCCUUUAGGUUCGGAAUAGCUCCUGGAAACGGGUGGUAAUGCCGAAUGUGCCCUUCGGGGGAAAGAUUUAUCGCCUUUAGAGCGGCCCGCGUCUGAUUAGCUAGUUGGUGAGGUAACGGCUCACCAAGGCGACGAUCAGUAGCUGGUCUGAGAGGAUGACCAGCCACACUGGGACUGAGACACGGCCCAGACUCCUACGGGAGGCAGCAGUGGGGAAUCUUGCGCAAUGGGCGAAAGCCUGACGCAGCCAUGCCGCGUGAAUGAUGAAGGUCUUAGGAUUGUAAAAUUCUUUCACCGGGGACGAUAAUGACGAUACCCGGAGAAGAAGCCCCGGCUAACUUCGUG